rnacentral:rRNA from 1 species
GGGGAAUAUUGCGCAAUGGGGGAAACCCUGACGCAGCAACGCCGCGUGGGCGACGAAGGUCUUCGGAUUGUAAAGCCCUGUCUUCUGGGACGAUAAUGACGGUACCAGAGGAGGAAGCCACGGCUAACUACGUGCCAGCAGCCGCGGUAAUACGUAGGUGGCAAGCGUUGUCCGGAAUUACUGGGCGUAAAGGGUGCGUAGGCGGAUAUUUAAGUGGGAUGUGAAAUACCUGAGCUCAACUCGGGUGCUGCAUUCCAAACUGGAUAUCUAGAGUGCAGGAGAGGAGAAUGGAAUUCCUAGUGUAGCGGUGAAAUGCGUAGAGAUUAGGAAGAACACCAGUGGCGAAGGCGAUUCUCUGGACUGUAACUGACGCUGAGGCACGAAAGCGUGGGUAGCAAAC